UGACACAGGGAGGUAGUGACAAGAAAUAACAAACUAAGUCCAUUUCGGAUUUUAGUAUUGGAAUGAGUAGAAUUUAAAUCUCUUUUCGAAAUCAAUUGGAGGGCAAGUCUGGUGCCAGCAGCCGCGGUAAUUCCAGCUCCAAUAGCGUAUAUUAAAGUUGUUGCGGUUAAAAAGCUCGUAGUUGGAUUUCUGCCGAGAAGGUUCGGUCUGCACUUUGUGCACGCAUCGAGUCCGUCUUGGCAUCCUCGUGAAAAACGUUUCUGCGCUUGAUUGCGUGGUGCGGGGUUCACGACUUUUACUUUGAGGAAAUUAGAGUGUUCACGGCAGGCUUCCGCCUUGAAUAUAUUAGCAUGGAAUAAUAAUAUAGGAUCUUGGUUCUAUUUUGUUGGUUUCUAGAGCUGAGUUAAUGAUUAAUAGGGACAAUUGGGGGCAUUCGUAUUAACGCGUCAGAGGUGGAAUUCUUGGAUUGCGUUACGACGAACUACUGCGAAAGCAUUUGCCAAGGAUGUUUUCAUUGAUCAAGAACGAAAGUAAGGGGAUCGAAGACGAUUAGAUACCGUCGUAGUCUUUACCAUAAACUAUGCCAACUAGAGAUCCGCCCUCGUUUUUUUAUGACUGGGUGGGCACCUUAUGAGAAAUCAAAGUCUUUGGGUUCCGGGGGGAGUAUGGUCGCAAGUCUGAAACUUAAAGGAAUUGACGGAAGGGCACCACCAGGAGUGGAGCCUG
rnacentral:rRNA from 1 species